UCUCUUAAACAUUUGACAAGAGCUCCAAAAAAUUGGGUGCUGGGUAGUUCCUAUAAUGUGCUCAGCACCUUACAGGAAUGAAGAAGAGUGUUUGGUUCUGCCGCUGGAAGACUAAAUGCAGGCAGGUUUCACAGGAGGAUAUCAUGAAGCUCACUUUGCUGGGCAAAGAACAGCUCCCCAGAGCAUUAUAUGUCUCAGACAGCUGAACUGGGGUGAUGGGUGAUGUUGCCACCCUUGCCAUUCUGCACCUCCUCACUUCUAGAGGUUGCCAGAAUCCCGGAUGAGUGAACCUCCACAACUAACAGCUCCCUGAGCUGUAGCCCAGGCCCAAUUAGCUUGAUGAAAUGGUAAGCUGAGGCAGGUCACUGUUCCAUUUGGAGUCACCAAGCCAUCUCCACCACGGGACUGCCAUUGCUGGGAGGUUGUUUCUGUUAGGCAAUGAAGUUUAUUACCUUUUCAGUGUUUCAUUUACCAAUAAACACCAGCUCACAAGUACUAUUUGUAUGAGCUUUAGAGAACAAGCCAAGAGACACCAUCUUGUGUGGCCCUAGCUGGGGUCUGUGUGACAGAAAGCCUUUCCCCAGGCCUAGCACAGGCUAGAGGGCUUGCUUGAUUAUUCUUCUCAUCAAGGAUAUUACUACAUGCUGUGUGUCUGUACUGUCAAAAGGGGAAACGGGGCUCUGCAUAUUUUUAGAACCACAGUUUCAUAGAAGGAUUGAGAUGGCAAGGGACGUCUGGACAUUCCACGCCAAGCUCCUCUGUGAAGCAGGGCUGACCCCAGGUAGGUCAGGCUGCUCAGUACACUGGACAGACAAUUCCUGAACAUCUCCAAGGGGAGAUUCCCCAGCCCCUCUGGGCACCUGUGCCCAUGCUGAAACUCUCAGGGAGGAGGUUUGUCCUUUACCUAGUUAGAAUUUUCCUCCCUGCAAAUUUUGAAACCAUUUCACUGUCCAUCUGUCAGAAGAUCUUGGCUCUGACUUUGCUAUAACCUCCUCAGUCCCACUUCCCCCCAAAAAAACAAAGAACUGAAGAGAGAGAUUAGUUCCCCCUUAACCUUCCUUUUCUCCAGACAGAGAGAAUCAGCUCCUUCAGCUUCCCCUUUCAUGCCACGGGCUGCAGCACCUUAACCACCUCAUUGGACUCCAUCCAGUUUAUUAGCAUCUCCCUCGUCUAUAUUUCUGUAAGAAGGAUACACCGCAGCCAGUGCCUCUCGUUCCUCAGAUUACCCUUUGUCCCACAGCAGAAUCAGGAAACAGUGGAAGAAUGCAGCUGAAGAGCCCCACGGAUGCUGCAUGGCCUGCCUGCCCACCCCAAGGGAGGACCAGCUCCACCCAAGCAACCUUGAUGCCCACUUGCUGAGCCUCCUAGCUGGCUCACAGACUCCCUAAGUCAGCUUUCACGGCAGCUUUUCCCCAGGUGACAACAGGCUACCUUAGUGAUUUGGAUAUUUGUGUUUACUGUCCACAAAGCAGAGAUUUUGACAAGAUCUUCCUCCUUUCUUGAAUCAUCACUUUGGCCUCUAAGGAUCACACUCAUUAUCAGCUUGGGAUGCAAGGCUGUUGAGCUCCUAAGGUGACAGUUUGAAACAGCAGUGAUAAUUGCAGACGUGACUACCUCAACAGCAAUAAUAAUAUUAUUUCUCGUCUUCCAGAGCUCUCCUUGGUGAGACACUUCUUAGAGUAGUUAAUGCUUACACCUGUGCUUGGGAUCGAAAGAGUAUUCUUGUCAGUGUAACACCUUUGUGAAAUAAUCAGUAUUCUGAAAUGU